rnacentral:rRNA from 1 species
ACGUACGUUUGAUCCUGGCUACGAGGACACGCUGGCGGCGUGCCUAACACAUGCAAGUCGAGCGAAGUGCUUUGAGUGGAACCCUUCGGGGUGAAACUUAAAGCACGUUAGCGGCGACGGGUGAGUAACGCGUGAGGAACCUACUACCCACAAGGGGAUAGACCUCGGGAAACCGGGAGUUAAUACCCUAUGACACUUAGGUGUCGCAUGACGCCUAGGUUAAAGCGCUUUAGCGGUGGAGAUGGCCUCACGUCCCAUUAGCUAGUUGGUGAGGUAACGGCUCACCAAGGCGACGAUGGGUAGCCGGCCUGAGAGGGUGACCGGCCACACUGGGACUGAGACACGGCCCAGACUCCUACGGGAGGCAGCAGUGGGGAAUAUUGCACAAUGGGCGAAAGCCUGAUGCAGCGACGCCGCGUGAGCGAAGAAGGCCUUCGGGUCGUAAAGCUCUGUACCUAUGGGAAGAUAAUGACGGUACCAUAGGAGGAAGCCCCGGCUAACUACGUG